UUAAAAAAACGAAGACAAUCUACAGCGCGUUUUUUUUUUUUUACUCUCCGUCUCGUGCUCAAUUUCCUCUCUGCCUCGCGCCCAACCCUUCUUCCCUCGCGAACCCUCUCGUCUUCAUCGACCUCUUUGAUGGGAAACAAGAGAAGGAGAAGAGGGAAAAGAAACGAAAGGAAGGAAGGAGAAGGGGCGUGAAGGUUACAUCUGGUGGCUCCGAUGGCAGAUUUGGUGGCUUCGAGGCGCAUGCGACAAUGUGAAACCUCGAUGGAUGAAGUUUAUCAGAACACUGGCAGUGAGCAUGAGGCCAAAUGGCAUAACAUAAGUAACUGUGCUGGAAUGCUCUUCAGUACCAGGUUCAUCACUUUUCUUAAUUCCUAUUGAUUCAGAACACCGGCAGUGAGCAUGAGGCCAAAAGGCAAGACAGGAUACUGUGUUUUUUCAUUCAUAUAUGGUUGUUGAAUGAACUGAUUUGUCGUUGCUGCUUCUAUAUUUCAUAUUUAUACUUGCAUUUUGUCUCUUUUUUGUUCCCUGUCCUCUUUUGAUUGUGCAGUUGGAAAAUGGACUUGUAGAGGCUGUUGGUAUUCUUAUUUCCAAAAUGCCUCACAUGUUUGACCUUUUCUUGACAUAUAUUCUAUAAAUUGGUAUGUUUGCUGUAGAAGGCAGCAACACUUUUAUUCAAGUUGACCAAUUUAGACUUCAAAACACUUACUGAAUCAUGAAGUUAUAUAUUAUCCAGCCUUACAAGACCAAUUCUUCCUUAUGGUUUUGGGGACAAAGGCAUAAAGCACUAUUACCAAAUCUCUAUUUGAUAUCAUGUUGAAUGGAAUGUGGUCAGGCCUGGAAUUAGAUAUCCAUUUACUUUGAAAUUCACACCAAAUUAUUGACAAGCAGGUCUUUCUCUCCUUAUGUAUGUAUGUGUGUGUGUAUAUAUAUCCCAAUCUUAAAAACAAAGUUACUAGCAGGGUCUGACUUUCUUUCUACGCAUACCUUGUAAUUCAUAUAUAUGCAUGCAUCCAUGAAUUACUUGAUUGAUGUUUUAGCUACAUUCUUGGUUAUCACUGGCUGUACCGUUGAUAUUGUCUAUGGCCAUGUCGUACAAUGUGCUCUUCUCUUCUUCUGUAGGUUUGGCUGCACUUAAUAAAUGGUCUCUCUUGCUACAUUUUUCCUUUGUUUGGCAUAUGAUUUAACUCAUCCAGCAGUGCCCUUGUUGUAAGAUAUAUCAUUUUUUUAGUUAAUUCAACCAGAAUGUGCAUGAAUGCUAAUCAUGUUGGAGAAAUUAGACUGAUUGGUUCUGGUUGUAACUUCAAGGAAUAAUUUGGAGUAUUUUUUAUGAAAAUCUGUUCAAGAAGCAUAUAAAGGGGUAAGAUUGCAAAGAUGGAGGCCCUUUUGGUGCUGUUAUAGUUCAUAAUGAUGAAAUGGUUGCUAGUUGUCACAACAUGGUUCUGUGUAACACAGACCCAACUGCUCAUGCUGCGGUGACAGCAAUAAGAGAGAAAUUUGCACAUGAUGGACAUGCCCUGCCCCGUUGGAUAGCAAAGCUUGUAAGAAGCUUAAGAAGAUAGAACUUGCAGAUUGCGAAAUAUAUGCUUCUUGUGAGCCUUGUCCCAUGUGCUUUGGUGCAAUCCACCUUUCUCGAAUUAAGAGGGCUGAGGCAGCAAUUGCUAUUGGGUUUUGAUGAUUUCAUUGCAGAUGCCUUGCAAGGUACUGGAUUCUAUCAGAAAGUAACAUUGGAAAUUAAGAGAGCUGAUGGUAUAUCAUUGCUGAAGAGGUUUUUGAGAAAACAAAGGAAAAAUUCCAAAUGUAUUAUAUCUGUCAUUCUUUUCACAGCUGAUGGCAAGUAGCCAUUGGAGUUCUACUUCCAACAACAGAUUAUGUUCUCCUUCAUAACUUUGCAGAUUUAUAUAGCUUGGAUUAUUUGUGUAUAAGUUAAUUUUAAAAUGAAAAUGAGCAAAUUUUUUAAAUGUUUCUGGAUAGCUUGGAUUGUGUGUACGAGUUUGAAACAAUGAAAGUGAGCGAAAUCUGAUUUAUUCUCUC